rnacentral:rRNA from 1 species
UACGUAGGUGGCAAGCGUUAUCCGGAAUUAUUGGGCGUAAAGAGCGCGCAGGUGGUUAAUUAAGUUUGAUGUGAAAGCCCACGGCUUAACCGUGGAGGGUCAUUGGAAACUGGUUGACUUGAGUGCAGAAGAGGGAAGUGGAAUUCCAUGUGUAGCGGUGAAAUGCGUAGAGAUAUGGAGGAACACCAGUGGCGAAGGCGGCUUCCUGGUCUGCAACUGACACUGAGGCGCGAAAGCGUGGGGAGCAAACAGG